rnacentral:rRNA from 1 species
CCUACGGGGGGCUGCAGUGGGGAAUUUUAGAUAAUGGAGGGAACUCUGAUCUAGCGACGCCGCGUGCAGGAAGAAGGUCUUCGGAUUGUAAACUGCUGUGGUAAGGGAAAAAUGCUAUGUAGAGUGGAAAGCUACAUAGAGGGAUGGUACCUUACUAGAAAGCCCCGGCUAACUACGUGCCAGCAGCCGCGGUAAUACGUAGGGGGCGAGCGUUACCCGGAAUCACUGGGCGUAAAGGGAGCGUAGGUGGCCUAACAUGUCAACUGUGAAAACCCGGAGCUCAACUCCGGACUUGCAGUUGAAACUGGUAGGCUUGAGGACGGUAGAGGAAGACGGAACUGCCAGUGUAGGGGUAAAAUCCUUAGAUAUUGGCAGGAACGCCGGUGACGAAGGUGGUUUUCUGGGCCGGUUCUGACACUGAUGCUCGAAAGCCAGGGGAGCGAACGGGAUUAGAUACCCCAGUAGUC